GUUGCUGUGAUGAGGUUAAGCACUUGGACGUGUUUUGGGCAGUGGACGAGGCUUUAGGGUCUCGCCGUGAGCUCGAUACAAAAACGACUUCUCCUUCCACUGAGCUUC